rnacentral:rRNA from 1 species
GGACGGGUGAGUAACACGUAGGCAACCUGCCUUGGGGACUGGGAUAACGGCCGGAAACGGCAGCUAAAACCGGAUACGAAACUUUGACGCCUGUUGAAGUUUGGAAACACGGAGCAAUCUGUGACCCCGAAGAUGGGCCUGCGGCGCAUUAGCUAGUUGGUGAGGUAACGGCUCACCAAGGCGACGAUGCGUAGCCGACCUGAGAGGGUGAACGGCCACACUGGGACUGAGACACGGCCCAG